CAGUAGCCGCGGUAAUACGAAGGGUGCAAGCGUUACUCGGAAUUACUGGGCGUAAAGCGUGCGUAGGCGGCUAAUUGAGUCGGAUGUGAAAUCCCCGAGCUUAACUUGGGAAUUGCAUUCGAUACUGGUUAGCUAGAGUGUGGGAGAGGAUGGUAGAAUUCCAGGUGUAGCGGUGAAAUGCGUAGAGAUCUGGAGGAAUACCGAUGGCGAAGGCAGCCAUCUGGCCUAACACUGACGCUGAGGUACGAAAGCAUGGGGAGCAAACAGGAUUAGAUACCCCUGUAGUCCCUGUCUCUUAUAC
rnacentral:rRNA from 1 species